UCGUGUGGAAGUCGAAUUAGUCGAACCAUUAGAAUCCCAUGAAGAAUAACUGAAUUGAUCUAAAUUUAUAUUAGCAUCCCAUGUGAACGACGCUUUAUUGUUUGACUUUUCAGAAAAAAGUCCUUCAAUGUAGUCUGACAAGCUCAUUUGUGGAAUUCUUUUCAAAUCUACAUUAUUAGAAGAUAGAUGUUCCAAAAGAUGUUUCAGGGUGCUUUGUGCACGCUUCCAAAUACCUGAAUAAAUAUUGACUAGAAGUGAUUCAGGGUGAUAUGCAGGUAGAGAGCCACCAACAUCUGCUGUUAUUUCCAAAAUACUCGAUAGACCAAUAUCCGUAAAAAUAUCAUAUUUCUGUUCAUAGUUUUCAGAAACGCUUGAAACUAUACAAUUCUCCUUGUUCAUUCUCAUAACACCGUUUGACACGCAUGUUUCAUUACCGUCCUUAAAUGUCAAUUUUUCAACAUCACGAGUAUCAGAACCACUAUUCGACAUGUGUUUUUUGCUCUGUGGGAGUAACCACUGGCUGAAAAGACAAAAGUAGUCAUCAUGAACGAUCACACAACUUGCUUUAGGCCCCCAAACGAAAUCGCAGAUUACCGGACCAGUUUGACUUUUCGCAAGACAAAACCACACGUUUCUAUCCUUUGACUUUUCCGAACCUACAAAACUUUCACCUUCACAACGCUUCAUGGAGUACACCUGCAGUUCAUUCCGCAAGGAAACGCCAAGCAAUAACUGACCGUUACCUAUCGUUAACCAAUUUAACGCAACCACCGUACCAUCAAGAUGUAUACUUUCUUCAAGUAAAAAACUUCCAACAUCUCCAACGUAUAUACAUUCCCAUAUGUGAAGGGUACUGUGGUCAUUUGACCCGUCCUUGUUAGAUAUAGUUGCAAUCUUUCGACCACAAUCGGUUACACUAACUCUCGUGACGGGCCCUGCAUGUGCGGCAACCGCGCCUACUAAUUCCCACUCUUGAUCUAUACUUCUCCAUAGUUUUAAACUACCGUCGAAAUAGCCGGUAACCAUGUGAUACAGAACAUGAUCGUUGAACAUUCCAGUAGCAAAACUCGUAAUGUUGUCAUGAUCGUACGGAUUUGGAAAUGAUGAUGAGCAACGAUCAACAAGUAUACGAUAUUUCUUACCAGACAUAUCACCUUCAAAGGAAUACGUGGCAGUUUCUACAGUCUCGUUGAAGCUGAUUUCCGCCGGAUGAAUGGUGAUUUUCCAUGAUAACGCCUGAAAGUUUCCUUUGCGUACAG
rnacentral:lncRNA from 1 species